rnacentral:lncRNA from 1 species
CAGUGGGACAAAGGAACAGACUGAUCUUUGGUGCAUAGCUGUCUCAUCUGCAGAAGAUGUAAGGACAACUCAGUGCCUCCCACGAUUCAGCCAGAUCAAGGGCUGGAGUUAAGUGUGUGUGCUGAGCCCAUCUCAAGGCUUGACCUGCAAGAGGGCAGCCAGUUAGGACUCAGGCAACAUCUGUUACUGCAGCCUGCUCAACUCUCAUUCCUGGAAAAUGUUGCCUGAGCACAAGCAUUCCACAGCACACAUGUGAGUAUGCAUGGAGACACUGUGAGAUUGUGUGCAUCCAUGCAGAUGCUGUUAUGCAGGGACUAUUUUGCAUGUGCAAACACUGGAGACGUG